AUUGAACGCUGGCGGCAUGCCUUACACAUGCAAGUCGAACGGCAGCACGGGAGCUUGCUCCUGGUGGCGAGUGGCGAACGGGUGAGUAAUAUAUCGGAACGUACCCUAGAGUGGGGGAUAACGCAGCGAAAGCUACGCUAAUACCGCAUACGAUCUAUGGAUGAAAGCGGGGGAUCGCAAGACCUCGCGCGAUUGGAGCGGCCGAUAUCAGAUUAGGUAGUUGGUGAGGUAAAGGCUCACCAAGCCGACGAUCUGUAGCUGGUCUGAGAGGACGACCAGCCACACUGGAACUGAGACACGGUCCAGACUCCUACGGGAGGCAGCAGUGGGGAAUUUUGGACAAUGGACGCAAGUCUGAUCCAGCCAUUCCGCGUGCAGGAUGAAGGCC
rnacentral:rRNA from 1 species